rnacentral:rRNA from 1 species
UUUUAACGAGAGUUUGAUCCUGGCUCAGAAUCAACGCUGGCGGCGUGCCUCAGACAUGCAAGUCGAACGAUUAAAGCUCACUUCGGUGAGUGCAUAGAGUGGCGUACGGGAGAGUAACACGUAAGU